rnacentral:lncRNA from 1 species
UGAAAAUUAUUUGUAUAUUUUUGGUCAAAUAUUUGCUACCCAAAUUAUUUUGUUCCAUAUUGUUUAUUAGACUCUGCAUUUUAACACUAUGUACUACUUUGUUGUUGCAGGGAAAUAUACCGGGAUCUGUAGGGGGCAGAGAGAAAGAAAGACAGAGACGGAGAGAGCACAUUAUCACACAUAGUCAAAAGAUCUCCAAAUGCUUCGGGUCCCAUAUUAGGUAAUGAAUCUCCAGCAGAAAGCAAGUUAAUGAGAAAUAUAUUGACACACUGGUGUUACUGUGGACCUGUAGCAAGAACAGAAUAACAUCUGCUUACGGCAGGGAAAUAUACCGGGAUCUGUAGGGGGCAGAGAGAAAGAAAGACAGAGACGGAGAGAGCACAUUAUCACACAUAGUCAAAAGAUCUCCAAAUGCUUCGGGUCCCAUAUUAGUCGUUGUGCAUGUGAGGAACCCUUCAAUGAAGAAACCAUCCAGACUCAGCCUCAGACGGUACACCCGCAAUCCGUUCACGGUUCACUGACAAGACUAUAUCUGAAAAUUGCUAGUUCAAAUCUGAUUGGCUGACUUCAUGCAACUUCCAGAUGAAGUAAGCCUGUGAGUGGAGUGACUUGUUCUGUCAGAAAAAGAGAAAGGUAGGAGAAGCAUGCACGUUGACUAUAUAUACGUUGAGAAUAUAUACAUGUUUUUAUUCAUAUAUUUAUAGAAAUAGCCUUGUGCAAUAAUUACAUUUGUACAGUUGUAUAUGCUAAUCUU